rnacentral:rRNA from 1 species
ACGGGAGGCAGCAGUGAGGAAUAUUGGUCAAUGGACGGAAGUCUGAACCAGCCAAGUAGCGUGCAGGAUGACGGCCCUAUGGGUUGUAAACUGCUUUUGUUGGGGAAUAAAGUGAGGCAUGUAUGCCUUUUUGCAUGUACCCUUCGAAUAAGGACCGGCUAAUUCCGUGCCAGCAGCCGCGGUAAUACGGAAGGUCCGGGCGUUAUCCGGAUUUAUUGGGUUUAAAGGGAGCGUAGGCCGUUGGUUAAGCGUGUUGUGAAAUGUAGUUGCUCAACAUCUGCACUGCAGCGCGAACUGGCCGACUUGAGUGCGCGGAAAGCAGGCGGAAUUCGUUGUGUAGCGGUGAAAUGCUUAGAUAUGACGAAGAACUCCGAUUGCGAAGGCAGCUUGCUGUAGCGUAACUGACGCUGAAGCUCGAAAGUGUGGGUAUCGAACAGGAUUAGAUACCCUGGUA